AUUAGACUCUUCAAUCCUAACCCUACAGCCCUAAGUGAUUCCUUAACGCUGGAGAUGCAGGAAUUUGAUUUGUAUGCAAGUUGACCCUGCAAAGCAUUGCAGUGAAGCCAUCCUAUCCCAACAGAGUGGCAUUCAGGCUCUGUUUUCUGGUAAAGGCAUUUCAACAGGAGACCAAAAAUAACCCCCGAGAAGUAGAGCUGAAAGCAGAUUCCUGUUCCCAGCCCUACAACCAAGAGCUGGGAAGAUUGGUUUUGAAGACUUCCCCAGAGAUGGAUUUUCCUGCCAUCCUGUAGUCGUUACUUUUUGAAGUCCCUGAGGUGGUUUCCAUCCUGUAGCAAGUCUGUUUCCCCAGGUGCAGGAUAAGGAUGAUAAAACCUGCAUGGAGGGAUGCUGCAAAUGCUCAUGUGGUCCCAGCAGGUCCCUGCUUAAAGCUUGGUGUUUGCUCUUGGGUUUGAGGUACUUGCUGAUGGAGUCACUUAAACAGCUUCUAAGUUUUGGUCCACAUCCACUCAAUGAAACCCUGGCCAGAACCCAGCCAUGUGCUAGAAGCUCCGACACCAAAUAUUUCUGCAAAACAAGCCAGAAGCAAAGUCAGGGAAGGAGAAAGUGCAGACAAACUCCCACAGAGCAGCUGAGGAUCAACGCCAUGAUAUCUGUGCCAAAGACAUUGGAGGGACAUAUCUGGAAGAGCAACAGCAGGAACAUCUGCAGUGCUACGCACCCCAUCUGGGUCACUCACCUGUCCCCACAGCCCAUCUGCAGGGCAUGCAAAUCUUCCUCCACUUCUAAUUGCAAUUUGCAAACUCCUUUCGAAGUGUGCUGUUAGCUUCUAGAUGCUAGAUGCCGUUAGAUGUGCUGUUGCACACCUCCCACCCAUGCUGGACACCAACACUGGAAUACCACAGCAGAUGAUAUUCUCCAUUAAGAUACAAAAGAAAGAAGUCCAGAUAUGAGCUGAACUAAUGCAUUAUGUCACAGUCUGUUCUCUUCUCCUUUACUUUACUUUUUUUCCCCUUUCUUUUUUCCUUUCUCUGCUGGCUUUGCUUUCUGAUCCAGAGAAUAAAUAAGAUGGACUGGACUUUGUUACUUGGAAGGCCACCAAUUUCCAAACACAUGCCAAAUACCAGCUCUUCAUAACCUCACCAUAUGCUGCAGAGCUAAUUUUGACAGUUAUCAAAAAAGCUUAAACCCAGAAGAGCAGGAAGAGAUGCCCCACAUUCCUGUAGCUCAUGUAGCCAAACCUGGCACCCCAUCCUUUGGGACCCAUGAGGUCAUCCAAGUAGUGAAGUACACAUCUGUAAUACAGCUGCACAGCUCAAAGCACAGCC
rnacentral:lncRNA from 1 species